rnacentral:tRNA from 1 species
UUUUGUCCAGUUUAAUGUUAAAACAAUAGUUUGUCAAAUUAUAGAUGCUCUUUGCGAUUAACAGAUA